rnacentral:lncRNA from 1 species
CACGAAGAAAAAUAGAAGAGCGCUGAACACCAGAAUCUGCACCUCAGCACGUACGGCGGAUGAAGAUUUUGCUUUACCCUCCAAUCCGCACUUAGGCACAGCCGGCGACUGUCUUCAGUACAUUCCUUCUGUACUUUCGCACAUUCUUCCUCUACUGGGUGGCAUGUUUUCCUGCACUCCACCACAUCUGGUGGAAGUUAAUCCUGCUAAAAAGAACGACAGGGAAGCAAAGUUGGUGCUCAGCGCUGUUCUAUUUUUCUCCGUGUUUGGUUAAAUUUUUGACUUACUGUCAGCCUCGGUUACAACAUAAACAAAUUUCUCCUUGUGUGUGCCUACAACAUUUGGUUUUCAUGCUACCAGCAAUGACGACUACAUAAAAUAUGGACCAGUACCAGUAUAGACAAGAUAUUAUGACUGGAGACUUUGCCCUCAGACGCGGGAAAUUUGGAGAGCGUGUAUCAAACUACAAAAAUAAUUGUUCACUAAGGGGAUGAUCUCUGACAUUUGUCGAUUUGACAAUCGUGCUUUCCUUGCUACUUCAUCCCUGCUUUAAAGUUUUUUUCACAUGGCUGUAUCUCUUGCGUGCAGCAGACCCAGUCCAGUAAUUUUUGUUGCGAAAAUCGUGCUUUGAAUGAAAUUUUGAAGAGAAAUCACAUAUCAGAAUGCUUAAUUUGUACCUUGUUCAGUGCCGUCAUGGCCAUUCCUGAGACCGCUCCUUUUCACAGAAACACAAAAUACUUAAGAAAUUUG